AAACGCUAGAAUUUAUUCCUUCUACCUGAAUAGAAACUGGAUUUGGAUGGAUAUACCACAGUCAUAAGGAUGAAGAAGAUAAACACAGACAUAGAACCAAUUUCUUGUCAUCCUUUCCAUGUGUUCUUUUGACUCUGUGGACCUCCUGUUCAAUUCUUUGCUUCUUUGACUGUGAGAAGCUACACACAGAGACUGGAAGUGUGUGUUGCCUGCCCUGGAACUAGAGUUACAAGCAGUCGUGAGCUGCCAUGCAUGAUAUGGGAACCAAAUCCUGGUCCCAGGGAUCCAAACCUUCGAUCAAUGGGAAGGAGAAAACUUCCUCAGGGAGGCAGUGGGCUUGCUUCACAUUGACUGGUGAGGGCAGCAGAGGGCUUUCAAGUGA